rnacentral:rRNA from 1 species
UAAUACGUAGGAGGCGAGCGUUAUCCGGAUUUAUUGGGCGUAAAGAGGGCGUAGGCGGCUUUCCAAGUCGGAUGUAAAAUCUCCCGGCUCAACUGGGAGGGACCAUGCGAUACUGGUAGGCUAGAGAGCAGCAGAGGGAGGUGGAAUUCCCGGUGUAGUGGUGAUAUGCGUAGAUAUCGGGAGGAACACCAGUGGCGAAGGCGGCCUCCUGGGCUGUUACUGACGCUGAGGCCCAAAAGCGUGGGGAGCAAACAGGAUUAGAUACCCUGGUAGUCCACGCCGUAAACGAUGGACACUAGGUAUAGGGAGUAUCGACCCUCUCUGUGCCGAAGCUAACGCUUUAAGUGUCCCGCCUGGGGAGUACGGCCGCAAGGCUA